AGUUAUCUUGUUUGCCCUUCCAAUCAACUGCAAUCCGCUGAUUAGGACUCCUCAUUAUUUGGUUUUGCGGAAAAGAAACUUGAUCCACAAUGAAUCCACAACAAAGAAUAUGAAAACCAUCUUGAUCCUACAUAACAUAAUCUGAUGCGGACACAUGGAUGACUCUGUAUCCCUCUGUCUUCAGUUCCUUCACCCUGGCUCGCAAGACCGUUUGUGACAUAUCUAAAAAUGAAGUAAAACAGGCAACUUUGUCUACAUGUGUGUUUCCAGAGCUCUGGUCCUCUACAUAAAACAAAUAUAUUUGUAUGCUACAUGCCAGCAUUUUGCUUAUACUCCACUCUUGUGAUGUCUAAACUUGUAGCCUAUAACACUCUGCUAAGACUGUAUCCAAAGGCUGUAUUCAGAGGGUACAGGUGCAGCGGUGGAUUUAUACUUUCCUGGUGCAGCGGUGGAUUCUGAGGGUCCUGAGUCAGCGGGGGAUU